rnacentral:rRNA from 1 species
UACGAAGGGGGCUAGCGUUGUUCGGAAUUACUGGGCGUAAAGGGCGCGUAGGCGGCCAACUAAGUCGGACGUGAAAUCCCCGGGCUCAACCCGGGAACUGCGUCCGAUACUGGAUGGCUUGAAUCCGGGAGAGGGAUGUGGAAUUCCAGGUGUAGCGGUGAAAUGCGUAGAUAUCUGGAGGAACACCGGUGGCGAAGGCGGCAUCCUGGACCGAAACUGACACUGAGGCGCGAAAGCCAGGGGAGCAAACGGG